GCCCAGCAUUCAGUUGGGCACUCUAAGGUGACAGCCGGUGACAAACCGGAGGAAGGUGGGGAUGACGUCAAAUCAUCAUGCCCCUCAUGAACUGGGCUACACACGUGCUACAAUGGAUGGUACAAAGGGCAGUGAAGCCGCGAGGUGGAGCCAAUCCCAUAAAACCAUUCUCAGUUCGGAUUGCAGGCUGCAACUCGCCUGCAUGAAGCCGGAAUCGCUAGUAAUCGCGGAUCAGCAUGCCGCGGUGAAUACGUUCCCGGGCCUUGUACACGGCGCCCAUCACACCACGAGAGUUUGUAACACCCGAAGUCGGUGGGGUAACCGCAAGGAGCCAGCCGCUUAU
rnacentral:rRNA from 1 species